rnacentral:lncRNA from 1 species
AGGUUCCAGAGGAUUUUGACAAACGGGUGAGUGAGGCAAGAUGCCUUAUCUAUAGGCACGAUAAGGCAAGAUGCCUUAUCUAUAGGCACGAUAAAGUUGGAGUCAGGCAUUGCACCACCAGCCUUCUUCCUGACCCCCAUUAUCAUUGUCCAUCUCCAAUGCCGCUACCACCAUCGUUGCUCCCCUCCAGGCCCAGCUGACUGGCCCCCUAACUGCUCCCGACCAUGCACAGCAUCUGCACCUCAGUGGCAAUGGUGGCCUAAGGGAAGGAUGACCUACUAGUUAAGAAGAAGAAGGCGUUGCCAAUGGCGGUUUUCAUGGACGCCGGCUAUGAAUGGAGAGAGAGAAAAAAGAGACACAUUUUGAAGGAAAGAGAGAGAAAAAGAAACAGGAUCCUCUGCGGUACUAAAAAAGUACCGCAGGAUGCUGUGCAUAUUUUGAGAUGUCCAUCAAAAGAUGGAUGGUUAUGUGAUGUUUAUCUAAAUUAUUCAAAUAUCCUAGAGUUUAUCCAUUUAUAUUUUUUUAGUAUUUUAACGUGUGUGCGUAAGCAUGCGCAGCCAUCCAUCUUUUGAUGGAUGUCUCCAAAGCAUGCACAGUAUCUUACGGUAUUUUUUAAGUACCGCAAAGGAUCCGUUCUCAAAGAAAAAUGGGGGUUGAGACUUGGGAGGAGUGACUACUAGCCUAGUCCACUUCUUGGCCCCUUAUUUAUUUUGUCUUCUUGUUUAUGCUACCUACCAACUCUUUUUUUUCUAAUCUACAUGGCAUCCAAAGCUACGCAAGUAGACUUCAUGAUGUUUAUACUGUCUGAUCUUGAUCCAGGUGGUCUACCUAGACUACAAGCUAAUAUUUAUGGAUUUGGGUUUCUGCAACAUCAUUGACAUAAUAUCACUCAUUUCUGUCCAUUACUUUCUUAAUGCACAGUUACUUCUUGCAUGUCUAUGCCUUAUAUCAGGUUAUAAUGUCUCAUUGCUGGUUGGUCUAUCCUAUCUGCACCUUCUUGUACCACGUUUCCUAUUAUGGACACAAUAUCUUGGUUAGACCAUUCUGCUUAUAUUUCAGUUCUCUUACUGGCGCGGUUCCUUUUGUCCCCGAUGCAUUCUAUAUCAAGGCACCACUUUUUUCCUACAUCACUUAUUUCAACAUUUCCAUUGUUGACAUCUGCUGCUUUCUGUUGCACUAUGGUUUUCUACUUUAUGUACCUCAACGGAUAGCUCUGUCAAUUAGUUUUCAUUAUCAUCAUCAUGCAGUAACUUAGAUUUUUAGUUUCAAAAAAUUUAUCUUUCAUUGCUGUUGGCUCUGUUAUGUUUUAGAAUGGGUGUUUCACUUAUGGCUUAUCUAGAAUAUUUAUCUAUAGAUGCUGACGAUCCACCAUCUUUAUAUUCAGUCACGGAUUGAUAGCUACAACUCUCAGGAGUUCAGCUCCACUUCUCAUGAGUUAAGCUCGCAGGGUUUCAACUCUCGUCCUCAUCCUCCUAAACUGAUAAUCAUUCAUCUCUGGCUACUUCCAGAUAAUAUACUUUGGACCUCUUCUGGACAUAUGUAUGCCUAUCAGGGUCAUAUAGGGUAUCUACAAUGCCUGGCUCAAAUAGUAGUUCCUUGUUUUGGUUUCUCUUCAUGUUCACAUAUACUUCUGCCUUAGAUCUUAUCAAGCUCUAAGCAUGAUUGUCAACUCCAAUUUCAUGUGGCUAGAGUCUUCUCUUUUUUCUGUGUUUGGCUUUUCUUCAAAAGUUCUGUACACUGGUAGCUUCUAAUUUCAUUGUAAUCAAGAGAGCUUUGUACAUUAUGUACUUUGUUCUUUAUUGUUUCUAUAUAUAGUCGUUAAUAGAGUAAACUUUUUACCAAAAAAAAAAAAACUCUUCUUCACUAACCCAACCCAUCACGAACUUUCUUCCCCUUCUCUCUUUCUCUUGCUUGACGACCCC